GUGUCAGCCGCCGCGGUAAGACGUAGGGGGCGAGCGUUGCCCGGAAUCACUGGGUGUAAAGGGGACGUAGGCGGAUGAUCAAGUCAUCUGUGAAAAGAUUGCUCAACGAUUGGCUUGCGGAUGAAACUGGUCAUCUUGGGCGUAGCAGAGGUAGACGGAAUUACCUGAGUAGGGGUGAAAUCCGCAGAUACAGGUAAGAACGCCGGUGAAGAAGUUGGUCUACUGGGCUACAGCUGACGCUGAGGUCCGAAAGCCAGGGGAGCGAACCGGAUUAGAUACCCGGGUAGUCCUGGCUGUAAACGAUGCUCACUAGGUGUAGGGAGCGAAAGACUCUCUGUGCUGAAGCGAACGCGCUAAGUGAGCCACCUGGGGAGUACGUCCGCAAGGAUGAA
rnacentral:rRNA from 1 species